UCCUUCUUCAUCCAUUCUGGGCCAUGAGUGAGAAGUGUAUGCUGAGCACAGCAGAGCAGCAAGAUAGGAAAGCCAGAAUCCCUCUUGAUUUGAUGAAGAUCCCGUUUGUUCAGGAGGAAGCCAGUUCAUGGACAGCCUUAUGGAAUGACCCAUACAGUGAAGAACUGCAGCUCCUUGCCAACAAAAACAUAUUGCCAUGUUUCCUUCAAAGAAAUUACACUGCUUUGUGAUUUAUCUGUGGUUUAUCCUCCCACAAAUGGAGAUUGGAUAAGUAUUUGUUAUGGUGGUCUGUGAUCCGUGAUUACAACUCUCUGGAAGGUCAUAUGAUG